UUGGAGUGUUCUUCGGAAGCAUUCAGAGACGGGCUCUGUGUCUGGGACUGGAACGCUGUCGUGAACAGCGACUGUGUGGCCUCGUUGUUAUCUGCUGAGUCAGACUGCGAUACACAGGAACUGGUUUCUUUACAGCCAUAAUCAUCUAAGCGAUGGCUCAUCAUUCCCAUGGAGAGACCCAGACCUCGCCUGCCGACCUCUUGCUGGAUUAUCUGGAGGAGCUCAGUGAUGAAGAGCUGAAGGAGUUUAAAUGGAAACUGAAUCACACAAAAUAUAAAGAGUUAAAGCCCCUUUCCAGGGGUCAGCUGGAGAAUUUGGAUAGAACAGACCUUACCGACAAGAUGAUAAGUGUCUACGGUGAAGCUGAUGCUCUCAAUAUCAUGCUUGAAAUGCUGAGGAAUAUGAACCUGAAUGAUCUUGAUCAGAGACUGAAUGCUUCUGGCCUGCAGAAGGACCCGACUCCGGAUCAAGCGGGAGAUGAUGGAUGGAUGUAUGGAAUUCAAACAGGCACUAUCCUGUCAGGUAGACUGAAGUCCUUGGGUUCCUGGGGAACAAAAGGACGAAGAAGAGAGGAGGAAAAAUUGGAAAAAGACAGAGGGAAGCUCAUGUCCAGCAUGAUCAAAUGUAACCUGAAGCAGAAAUGUGAGUGUGUAUUUGAAGGGAAAGCUAAGGGAAGACAGCCAGCACUUCUCAAUGAGAUUUACACAGAACUCUACAUAACUGAAGGUGGGACUGGAGGAGUCAAUGAUGAACAUGAAGUGAGACAGAUUGAAACAGCAUCCAAGAAAAGGCAAAGAGAAGAUACUACAGUCAAGUGCAAUGAUAUAUUUAAACCCUUAUGUGGGCGUGAGACAUCGAUCAAAACUGUACUCACUAAAGGGGUGGCAGGUAUCGGGAAAACAGUCUCUGUGCAGAAAUUUAUUCUCGACUGGGCAGAAGGAAAAGCAAACCAGGAUGUUCACUUCAUAUUUGCUCUUCCUUUCCGGGACCUGAAUAUGAUUAAGGGUGAAUACAGUCUGAUUGAACUGCUUCACCACUUUGUCCCAGAACUGAAAUCACUUAAAUCCACUGAGCUGCUUAGGUACAAAAUCUUGUUCAUCUUUGAUGGUCUGGAUGAGUGUCGCCUUCCUCUAGAUUUUCAGAACAAUGGGAGCUGGUUUGAUGUAACAAAGAAAAUGUCACUGGAUGUGCUGUUGACUAACCUCAUUAAGGGGGAUCUGCUUCCAUCCGCUGUCCUCUGGAUAACCUCCCGGCCAGCAGCAGCCAAUCAGAUACCUCCUGCGUACAUCGACCAGGUGACAGAGAUACGAGGGUUCAGUGAUGCCCAGAAGGAGGAGUAUUUCAGGAGGAGAUUUGGUGAUGAGAGCCUGGCCAGCAGGAUUAUCACACAUGUGAAAUCAUCAAGGAGCCUCUUCAUCAUGUGCCACAUACCUGUGUUCUGCUGGAUUUCAGCCACUGUGCUUGAGAUGCUUUUCAGUGAGACUGACAGGGGAGAAAUUCCAGGGACUCUGACUGAAAUGUACACACACUUCCUGAUCUUUCAGAGCGAAUGUAAAACUGACAAGUAUAUGAACAAAUUACAGCUUAAAACACACAGCAAGGAAUUCCUUCUAAAACUUGGCAAACUGGCUUUUGACAACCUUGAGAAAGGCAAUCUCAUAUUUUAUGAGCAAGAUCUGAAAGAGAAUGACAUUGAUGUCGCUGAAGCUUCAGUUUACUCUGGAGUGUGCACAGAAGUCUUUAAAGAGGAAUGUGGGUUCUAUCAGGAGAAGGUGUACUGCUUUGUGCAUCUGAGCAUCCAGGAGUAUCUCGCUGCUUUAUACAUGUUUCUGUCAAACUCAUCAGCUGAUCUGCUGGAGACUGAAGUGGAUCAGGCACUGGAGAGCAAGAAUGGACACUUGGACCUCUACCUCCGCUUCCUCCUGGGCCUCUCAACAGACUCCAGUAAGACUCUGUUGAAAAGGUUACUGGGACAGACAGGGACCAGCUCACAUAACAUUGAGAAAACAGCCAAAUACAUCAAGGAGAAAAUACAGGAGAAUUUAUCUCCAGAAAGGACCAUCAACCUGUUCCAUUGUCUGACUGAACUGGGUGACAAUUCUCUAGUAGAGGAAAUGCAAAGAUACCUGAAUUCAGGAAGCCUUUCAGCAGAAGAUCUCUCACCUGCACAGUACUCAGCUCUGGCCUUUGUGAUGCUGAUGUCAGAUGAGGAGCUGGAUGUGUUUGAUCUGAAGAAAUUCAUCAGAUCAGAUAAAGAGCACUGGAGGCUGCUGCCUGUGGUCAAGAACUCCAGGACGGCUCUGCUGAACAGCUGUAAUCUCACAGAGAAAUGCUGUGAGGCGCUGGCUUCAGCUCUCAGAUCAAACUCCUCACCCCUGAGAGAGCUGGACCUGAGUGACAAUGACCUGCAGGAUUCAGGAGUGAAGCUGCUCUCUGCUGGACUGGGGGAUUCACACUGUAAACUGGAGAUACUGAGGCUGUCAGCCUGUAGAGUCACAGAAGAAGGCUGUUCUUCCCUGGCUUCAGCCCUGAGGUCAAACCCCUCACACCUGAGAGAGCUGGAUCUGAGCUACAAUCACACAGGAGACUCAGGAGUGAAGCUUCUCUCUGCUGCACUGGAGGAUCCCAGCUGUAAACUGCAGAUACUGAGCAGUAAUAUGCAAGACACAGCAAAAUUCAUGAAGAGUGAGAAACCUUCAUCUCUGAAACAAUGUAGAGCCUCCACGUCUGUCACUGUUGCCUGGAAUUGGAUUCCGGAGCUGGUAUCGCGAAACAAGCACUUAUUUAUACCUGAUGUGGUGGAAACAACUAACGUGACAGAAUACAGGUUUCAGGUGAAUCAUGCUGGAAGGUUCUUCUGCUGUGUCACAGGCUUGGUGUUUGUGAUGAAGUCCAGUGGGGGGUUGAGCUACAGCUUCUGCUCCUGGGAAAAAGCCCCCAAGCCCCCCGGCAGCUGGAGUCAAGCGGGGCCCCUUUUUGGCGUCGAGUGUCCCCAAGGGACCCUGAAGAAUCUGCACUUCCCUCACUGUGAGAUGUCAUGUGCAGAUGAAGACCUGGCUGUAGCACAUGUAACCGAAGACAACAUGGAGAUUCUGCAGCCACUGGAGGUGACAGACACACAUGUGGUCAUCAGCAUCACCAGCCUCUCUCUUUUUGGUGUCAUAAAGAGGAAAAUAUUCCCCAUGGUCCGAGGGCAAGUGCUACUGCUGGUCCGGCCCAUAGCAAAAAUCUUGAAUGUGUUCUUGCUGCCCCUGAAUGUGUCUCCUGACCAGGUGCACCAGCAGGAGCAACAGAAAGAAAACAUUCUCAUUCCUACCAGCUCUAUGUGCAAACUCAUUCAUAAUGAGCAGUACAGGAUUUCCUGUGACCACGAGGCUAUAAGGAGGAUCCAGCCAGAGAAUGAAGAGUUUGAAUACAGUUUUGACCAAACAAUCCACCCAACUUUUGAGCUAUUUCUGAACCGUGACGUGGUGGAAGUGGAUCUGAGUGUCCUGGAAGACAGGAGCGGUAAAGUCGUGUAGCGGCGCUUCAUCGAUCUCACAGGUGCCGUUCCUGCAUCACCAUCUAUGACUGAUACAGGUGUGGCGUUUCUAGACCAACACAGGACAGCCAUCAUCCAGAGAGUGUCAGCGAUUGACCCCAUACUGGACGACCUACAUGGGCACAUCGGCGGGGAAAAGUACAACAACAUACGUGCUGGCAGUACCAGCCAGGACAGGAUGAGGAGGCUGUAUGAGGUGUUAAACACUGAUAGGCUGAAAGAGCUUUUCUUUGACUCCCUGAAGAAGAACGAGCCACACCUUGUCUCAGACUUGGAAAGAUCUUAAUUGGACCAGUAGAUAAAACCUUAUGUCCUGCUUCUCCCAAAUCUCCCAGCUGAUACUUUCUGUUCUUGACGCUUUUUAAGCCAGUUUGUACCACAACCUUUUUAAAACCCUGUCAGUUCACACUAGGGAUGGUAAGAUUCACCGAUUCACAUCCCACAGGUAUAAAAUUCACAAUGGGAGUGCAACAGGUACAAGUUGAAAUGAAUUUCUGUUUCAAACAACAUUGUUUCUAACUUUUUACGUCGGUUAAAUCUGAUUUAUUAACUUAGUGAGUAAAAUCAUUUUGUUUUUCAAUUUCGUAUUAUUUAGCCCGUUUUCAUAUUUUCUGGGUUCAUCAUGCUUCCAGACCACAGCAGGGCUUUUAUUACAAACCUGCUUGUGUUUGUAAGCUGCUGCACAUGAAAGCAAAAUUUCUUUUGCGUCUGUUUCAGAAGCUAAAAUAUGGCUCCUAGCUCGUCCGACUUUCAGGGGAAUAUCUAAUAACUAAUAAAUCUGUACAUUUAUAGGUUGAAGCAUGCUUAUUAAUGAAUCUGGUGGAAGUUUAUUUGGUUCAUUUAAAAGAUUUUACAUUACGUUUAAUAUUUCAUUUAAUAGAUUUUAUUCGGAGAAGCCUUACUUUCCGUUAAAACGGCUUAUUCUCAACUCCCGCUCCGGUAGUCAGACGCUCACUUCCUGACCCGCGAGUAAAGAGACAACAUAGAGAGCGGUGUGCGCAGAAGCGCGGUUCGGCUUUGUAUGUAAACUUAACUCAUGGAAGACCCUGUAUCAUAACCAACAGUCAAUCAAUAAAAGGCUAUGUGAAAUGCUGGAAUUUAAUCAUGUCGUGUCGAUGAAGUUUCAUAAAGAGUAUCUUAUUUGAUUGCGCAAAUUGCAACUAGCUUGGUAGUUAGCAUAUAGCACAUAUAGCGAGGCUGUUAACGCAGCGAUACGUAGAGUUUGUGUCAGUCACAAUUCUCAUCCCACUGUGUUUGCUGUUAGGACAUAAGAAUGAGUAAGAAUCUGGUCAAAAAACGGGGUCAUAUGUGGCAUUUAUUUGGGAAAUAUAAUAAAGUAAGUUUCCUGUGGAGCUCCACUUUACGUCGUAAAGAUUAGCCCCACUUUGCGUUCUUAAAGAUCACGUGUUUCCUGUGGAGCUGACAUAUUUCCUGUGGAGCUCCACUCUACAGUCUUCUGCAGCUGGACCCUUCUCGCUUUGAUCGGAUCAUUUCCUGUGUAUAAAUGAAAGUGAUUCAAGCUGGAUUCUCCAGUUUGUUAAGAAAGAUGAAUAAGUUUCUGGAAUAAUAUAAAGUCAUUUUGUAUAGCAAGGUAAAGUUAUAGUUAAUAAAUAUAUUUAGUAAUAAAAUAAGCAUGCACUUACAUGUUACAGGUAAUAUGGGGAGCUAUAUUAUUUGCUUUAACUUAGCCCGUUCUGUAUGUAGUGAGUUGAAAUGGGGUGCAUGUCCCUUUAAAAACGAGCCAUUGCACUCGUGCUACACCAGAGGUAAUUGUACUUGUCACCGGUAUCUAUAAAAUUUUCCAAGACUAAAACUAUCAAAGUUAGAUCUAUAUGUCUAUAUAUAUCUAUAUUGUAAUGGUUCUUUGGGAGCUCUCAUUGGCUGUUGUGGGAGGUGCAUCAUGGGAACAGGGAUUAUGCUGGAGUUUUGCUCAUUAUGUGUGCAUGUUCUGGUGUUUGCAGGUAAAAGAGCAAGCUGCACAUGUUCUUUGUGUUGUGUUUGUAUGAGCGCGCUGAUGAUGGAUGUCCAGACUCACAAUGGAUGUAACGGGUAUGGCAAAUUAUAACUCAGUGAGUCUGGCCUCUGUCAUCAUGCCUUGCCCAAGACUUUAUGCUUGUGUGCAUACUAACCUCUAGGGGACAAACCGGUAACAGGUUGGCAUUUUUAAAGGCUGGUGAAAACAAGCAAUAAAACCUGGUCAGUUCUAUUACUGGUUCAAAGACCAUAA